AAUAGGGGAGCCGAAGGGAAACCGAGUCUUAACUGGGCGUUAAGUUGCAGGGUAUAGACCCGAAACCCGGUGAUCUAGCCAUGGGCAGGUUGAAGGUUGGGUAACACUAACUGGAGGACCGAACCGACUAAUGUUGAAAAAUUAGCGGAUGACUUGUGGCUGGGGGUGAAAGGCCAAUCAAACCGGGAGAUAGCUGGUUCUCCCCGAAAGCUAUUUAGGUAGCGCCUCGUGAAUUCAUCUCCGGGGGUAGAGCACUGUUUCGGCAAGGGGGUCAUCCCGACUUACCAACCCGAUGCAAACUGCGAAUACCGGAGAAUGUUAUCACGGGAGACACACGGCGGGUGCUAACGUCCGUCGUGAAGAGGGAAACAACCCAGACCGCCAGCUAAGGUCCCAAAGUCAUGGUUAAGUGGGAAACGAUGUGGGAAGGCCCAGACAGCCAGGAUGUUGGCUUAGAAGCAGCCAUCAUUUAAAGAAAGCGUAAUAGCUCACUGGUCGAGUCGGCCUGCGCGGAAGAUGUAACGGGGCUAAACCAUGCACCGAAGCUGCGGCAGCGACGCUUAUGCGUUGUUGGGUAGGGGAGCGUUCUGUAAGCCUGUGAAGGUGUGCUGUGAGGCAUGCUGGAGGUAUCAGAAGUGCGAAUGCUGACAUAAGUAACGAUAAAGCGGGUGAAAAGCCCGCUCGCCGGAAGACCAAGGGUUCCUGUCCAACGUUAAUCGGGGCAGGGUGAGUCGACCCCUAAGGCGAGGCCGAAAGGCGUAGUCGAUGGGAAACAGGUUAAUAUUCCUGUACUUGGUGUUACUGCGAAGGGGGGACGGAGAAGGCUAUGUUGGCCGGGCGACGGUUGUCCCGGUUUAAGCGUGUAGGCUGGUUUUCCAGGCAAAUCCGGAAAAUCAAGGCUGAGGCGUGAUGACGAGGCACUACGGUGCUGAAGCAACAAAUGCCCUGCUUCCAGGAAAAGCCUCUAAGCAUCAGGUAACAUCAAAUCGUACCCCAAACCGACACAGGUGGUCAGGUAGAGAAUACCAAGGCGCUUGAGAGAACUCGGGUGAAGGAACUAGGCAAAAUGGUGCCGUAACUUCGGGAGAAGGCACGCUGAUAUGUAGGUGAAGUCCCUCGCGGAUGGAGCUGAAAUCAGUCGAAGAUACCAGCUGGCUGCAACUGUUUAUUAAAAACACAGCACUGUGCAAACACGAAAGUGGACGUAUACGGUGUGACGCCUGCCCGGUGCCGGAAGGUUAAUUGAUGGGGUUAGCGGUAACGCGAAGCUCUUGAUCGAAGCCCCGGUAAACGGCGGCCGUAACUAUAACGGUCCUAAGGUAGCGAAAUUCCUUGUCGGGUAAGUUCCGACCCGCACGAAAGGCGUAACGAUUUGGGCACUGUCUCAACGAGAGACUCGGUGAAAUCAUA
rnacentral:rRNA from 1 species